ensembl:snRNA U6 U6 spliceosomal RNA
GUGCUCACUUUGGCAGCACAUAUACUAAAAUUGGAAUGAUACAGAGAAGAUUAGCAUGGCCGCUGCCUAAGGAUGAUAUGCAAAUUCGUGAAGCAUUCUAUAUUAAA